AAUUUCCAUUGCACUUAAAAUCCAAAAUUACGAGUAAAAAUCCAAAAUACUCAAAAUGACUUCUCAACUAGUAGCAAACCACCGAGGAGGAGCGGAGAUCUACCACGGCAACUCCCUCUGCAAGCAGAAGUUCCUCGACAUUCUCAAGGAGAUCCGUCUCCCCAUUGGACUUCUGCCCCUAGACGACAUCCUUGAGAUUGGCUAUAACCGCACCACCGGCUUUGUCUGGUUGAAGCAGAAGAGGAGGAAAGAGCACAAAUUUCAUGCAAUUGGACGCAACGUGUCUUACGAAACGGAGGUGACGGCAUUCGUGGAGAAUCGUCGGAUGCGACGGGUAACUGGGGUGAAGACCAAAGAGUUUCUAAUUUGGGUCACGAUCUCUGAUAUUUCUAUAGAUCCUACGGAUACUGAGAAAAU
rnacentral:misc_RNA from 1 species